ACAAAUGUGUCGAAAUUGGUAGACGAGCUUCACUUAGGAUGAAGUGUCCGUAUGGACGUAAGAGUUCGAGUCUCUUCAUUUGUA
rnacentral:tRNA from 1 species